AGGACGAACGCUGGCGGCGUGCUUAACACAUGCAAGUCGAGCGGUAAGGCCUUUCGGGGUACACGAGCGGCGAACGGGUGAGUAACACGUGGGUGAUCUGCCCUGCACACUGGGAUAAGCCUGGGAAACUGGGUCUAAUACCGGAUAUGACCUGCUCUCGCAGUGGGGGGUGGGUGGAAAGAUUUAUCGGGUGCAGGGAUCGGGCCCGCGGCCUAUCAGCUUGUUGGGUGGGUAAUGGCCUACCGAAGGCGACGACGGGUAGCCGACCUGAGAGGGUGACCGGCCACACUGGGACUGAGACACGGCCCAGACUCCUACGGGAGGCAGCAGUGGGAAUAUUGCACAAUGGGCGAAAGCCUGAUGCAGCGACGCCGCGUGAGGAUGAAGGCCGUUCGGGUUACGUAAACCUUCGUUC
rnacentral:rRNA from 1 species